UUUCACAAAUAAAGGCUAGCAGAAAC
rnacentral:piRNA from 1 species